rnacentral:ncRNA from 1 species
GGCCGACCGGGACGCACAGAUCCUUGGACCGCACGACGGUCGCCGCACCAGCUCCGGCAGCACCACGCCGCGCUGGGAGAGGUCCGAGGGGAGCGAGUGGCGAGACCGACCCGGACCGAC